UUCACGUAAGUUUUUGAAAGUAUCUUGUUAUGGGCAAAAUUAUUGUUUAAAAAAAUUGAGUAAUAAGCAGCGCCGUUCACUGUCGGCUACUAACUUAUAUAGAGACAGUGAACAUAAGAGGAGUACCAGCCGCGGGAAAAUGAAGUCGCUACUCCACGCCGUGCCCGUUGUUCUGACGAUCUUGCUGCUCCUAUUGAAGUCUCCUCGGACUUUAGCUGCUGUUUGUUACAAAAGAAUAAAUCCGGACGAAAAUUAUUAUCCUGGCAAUCUUAUAAAACAAGCCCCUGAAGCAAUAAACGAGGCUUGCAACCCCCAGAACUACUACGCGCCGCCCAAGUAUAAAAAAGAUCCAAAAAUCGACGUAGACAAUGCACUAAUACGACAUUAUCCUUGAGUUUAGUCUUAUAUAGCUUGUAAAAAAUAAAAAAAAUUGUAAAGUAAUUAAAUUAGCAGAUA